rnacentral:rRNA from 1 species
UACGUAGGGUGCGAGCGUUAAUCGGAAUUACUGGGCGUAAAGCGUGCGCAGGCGGCGGCACAAGUCAGGUGUGAAAUCCCCGGGCUUAACCUGGGAAUUGCGCUUGAAACUAGGUCGCUAGAGUGUGGCAGAGGGGGGUGGAAUUCCACGUGUAGCAGUGAAAUGCGUAGAGAUGUGGAGGAACACCGAUGGCGAAGGCAGCCCCCUGGGUCAACACUGACGCUCAUGCACGAAAGCGUGGGGAGCAAACAGG